rnacentral:rRNA from 1 species
ACAUGCAAGUCGAACGGGAAACCUAUUAUUGAAACUUCGGUCGAUUUAAUUUGUUUCUAGUGGCGGACGGGUGAGUAACGCGUGGGUAACCUGCCCUAUACAGGGGGAUAACAACCAGAAAUGGUUGCUAAUACCGCAUAAGCGCACGGGACCGCAUGGUCCGGUGUGAAAAACUCCGGUGGUAUAGGAUGGACCCGCGUUGGAUUAGCUGGUUGGUGGGGUAACGGCCCACCAAGGCGACGAUCCAUAGCCGGCCUGAGAGGGUGAACGGCCACAUUGGGACUGAGACACGGCCCAGACUCCUACGGGAGGCAGCAGUGGGGAAUAUUGCACAAUGGGGGAAACCCUGAUGCAGCGACGCCGCGUGAAGGAAGAAGUAUCUCGGUAUGUAAACUUCUAUCAGCAGGGAAGAUAGUGACGGUACCUGACUAAGAAGCCCCGGCUAACUACGUGCCAGCAGCCGCGGUAAUACGUAGGGGGCAAGCGUUAUCCGGAUUUACUGGGUGUAAAGGGAGCGUAGACGGAAUGGCAAGUCUGAUGUGAAAGGCCGGGGCUCAACCCCGGGACUGCAUUGGAAACUGUCAAUCUAGAGUACCGGAGGGGUAAGUGGAAUUCCUAGUGUAGCGGUGAAAUGCGUA